UUUCUCUCUUUCACCGCGUUGUGGAAACAUAUUCUGGUAAAAGAAGGGAAGUAAAGGAAUCAAUCUACGACAAUGACAGAUUGCAAGUCGAAAAGAUGAAAAUUGAUAACAAAAGAAGAAGUGGGCUUACAGCUAGGAUAAAGGUGAUAACUUACAGAUCAUAUAACAGUUGGUCUGUGGAGAGAAAAUUCAGUGGUGCUGUAAAAAUAUUUAAACUUGAGAAGAAGAGACACUAGUAUUAUCUUCUUAUGAUAUGAAAAAGUUAUUAAUGAAAUAUUUAAAUAGAAUAGCCUAUAACAUAGAUUUUUGAAGAGAGUUCAAUUUUUUGAUGGAUGAUAUUUUAAUCAAUAGAUAACGGUAAGGUAUUACUUUCUUGUAGAUGAUAUAAAAGUUUUUCCCUGUUGCAAUCAAAUAUGUGACAUAAUUAUUGUGAACGGUUUCAUUAUUCUAAUUAUCAUUAAAUAAGUUUGAAACUCA